rnacentral:rRNA from 1 species
GCAUCAUGAGUUCACAUGUCCGCAUGAUUAAAGGUAUUUUCCGGUAGACGAUGGGGAUGCGUUCCAUUAGAUAGUAGGCGGGGUAACGGCCCACCUAGUCAACGAUGGAUAGGGGUUCUGAGAGGAAGGUCCCCCACAUUGGAACUGAGACACGGUCCAAACUCACUACGGGAGGCAGCAGUGAGGAAUAUUGGUCAAUGGGCGAUGGCCUGAACCAGCCAAGUAGCGUGAAGGAUGACUGCCCUAUGGGUUGUAAACUUCUUUUAUAAAGGAAUAAAGUCGGGUAUGCAUACCCGUUUGCAUGUACUUUAUGAAUAAGGAUCGGCUAACUCCGUGCCAGCAGCCGCGGUAAUACGGAGGAUCCGAGCGUUAUCCGGAUUUAUUGGGUUUAAAGGGAGCGUAGAUGGAUGUUUAAGUCAGUUGUGAAAGUUUGCGGCUCAACCGUAAAAUUGCAGUUGAUACUGGAUGUCUUGAGUGCAGUUGAGGCAGGCGGAAUUCGUGGUGUAGCGGUGAAAUGCUUAGAUAUCACGAAGAACUCCGAUU